rnacentral:rRNA from 1 species
AGUUUAAUAUGGCCUGAUUGAACGCUGGCGGGAUGCUUACACAUGCAAGUCGAACGGCAGCACGACUUCGGUCUGGUGGCGAGUGGCGAACUGGCGAGUAAUGUAUCGAACGUGCCUAGUAGUGGGGAUAACUACGCGAAAGCGUAGCUAACAUCGCACGGACAUGCCCUCGGGGAAAGCGGGGACCUUCGGGCCUCGCACUAUUAGAGCGGCUGAUAUCGGAUUAGCUAGUUGGUGGGGUAACGGCUCACCACAGUGACGAUCCGUGGCUGGUUUGAGAGGACGACCAGCCACUGGGAUCGAGACGGCCCAGACUCCUACGGGAAAGCAGCAGGGAAUUUUGACAAUGUGGAAAAAACCUGAUCCAGCCAUCCCGCGUGUGCGAUGAAGGGCCUUCGGGUUGUAAAGCACUUUUGCGCAGGAAAGAAACGGCAUUGGAUAAUACCCCGUGCAACUGACGGUACCUGCAGAAUAAGCACCGGCUAACCACAAAAGCCAGCAGCCGCGUGGUAAAUGGCUUGUGGUGCAAGCGUUAACUGGAAUUCACUGGCAAAGCGUGCGCAGGCGGUUCGGAGAGAAAGAUGGAAUCCCAGAGCUUAACUUUGGAACUGCAUUUUUAACUACCGAGCUAGAGUGUGUCAGAGGGAGGUGGAAUUCCGCGUAGCAGUGAAAUGCGUAGAUAUGCGGAGAACACCGAUGGCGAAGGCAGCCUCCUGGGAUAACACCACGCUCAUGCACGAAAGCGUGGGGAGCAAACAGGAUUAGAUACCCUGGUAGUCCACGCCCUAAACGAUGUCAACUAGCUGUUGGGGCCUUUGGCCUUGUAGCAGCAGCUAACGCGUGAAGUUGACCAGCCUGGGGAGCAUGGUCGCAAGAUUAAAACUCAAAGGAAUUGACGGGGACCCGCAAUAAGCGGUGGAUGAUGUGGAUUAAUUCGAUGCAACGCGAAAACCUUACCUACCCUUGACAUGUCUGGAAUCCCGAAGAGAUUUGGGAGUGCCGCAAUAGAACCGGAACACAGGUGCUGCAUGGCUGUCGUCAGCUCGUGUCGAGAUGUUGGGUUAAGUCCUGCAGACUGAAGGCAACCCUUGUCAUUAGUUGCUACGAAAGGGCACCUACGAGACCGCCGGUGACAAACCGGAGAAGGUGGGGAUGACGUCAAGUCCUCAUGGCCUUUGCGGGUAGAAGCCACACGUCAUACAAUGGUCGGGACAGAGGGUCGCCAACCCGCGAGGGGGAGCUGACCCAGAAACCUGAUCGUAGUCCUCUGAUCGCAGUUCGUAAACUCUGACUGCAGAAGUCGAAUCGCCAGUAAUCGCGGAUCAGCAUGUCGUGGUGAAUACGUUCCUGGGUCUUGUACACACCGCCCGUCACACCAUGUGGGAGUGGGUUUUACCAGAAGUAUAGCCUAACCGUAAGGAGGGUGAUUACCACAGUAGGAUUCAUGAUCGGGUGAAGUCGUAACAAGAAA